UAAGAGGUGUGUACAGUACAGUAGAGUGAGUGUUAUAAGAGGUGUGUACAGUACAGUACAGUACAGUAGAGUGAGUGUUAUACCCGUGUUUAUUUGUUAAGUUAUUAACCCCAGGGGUGGAUUACAUGAUGGCGGGACUCAUGUUAAUAAAAACACUGAUAAAUAAUGGAUCGUGAGAAAGAAAUAUAGACAUGGUGGAGGAGGUACAGUAGGAAAGUGUACAGUAAUUGUACUAACAUUACACGUAAUUUAAAGAAAGCAGAAAUAACUAACUAUAUUCUUGCAAGUUUCUUUAAGGCUCUAAAUGUAAAGAACAUAUGUGUAUCAAUAUAACCAAGUGCUAUUAGGAAAGAAAAUGUAUUUGUAUUGAUAAUUAAUGGGUUUCCCGUAUCAGAAUUACAGGUGUUGAAUGAUCCAUAAAGAAUAUACUGUAAGGUACGUGUAUACUAAUCAGAUAUGCUAAAAACAUUGACAAGUCUUCUUACUGUUCACAUGUAAUAUACUCUAUAGUACCGUACAGUAUAAGUAAAAUAUUGGAAAUCUAACCAAACACAAAUUUAAAGAAUUUUUUCAGUUAAGUUUUUGAAAGGAUAAAUAAAUAUUCAUAUCAAUAAUUCACAAAUAAUAUACCCAAGGUUUUGACUGGUAAAACUGUUCCCUCCCAAAAUGGUGCAAGUACAGUGUGUUUGGUUUAUACAACUUAUGGGCCACGUGAAGAUUAGCAACCCUUACUUAUUUUGUCUUGAGCUGUAGUUACUGUAGACCUUCAGCUGUAGUUACUGUAGACUUUUAGCUGUAGUCACUGUAGACCUUCAGCUGUAGUACAGUACAGUACAGUACAGUACAGUACAGUACAGUACAGUACAGUACAGCUCAGGUUAUGUCAACAGGCCUUUAAAUAUACCGGUGUACUCUACCUGCCUGGUGAUUUUGUCCAUAACAAAUUGAUACUUCCCAGUUAAGAGAACCUGUAGGGGUAUCCAUCAUCUGUGUGUGAGGCUACAUAAUAUGACCUCCUGUAGGCACAUCCACCAUCUGUGUGUGAAGCUACAAAAGGUUUUCACGGUCAGAAUGGGUAUGCAAGAUUUCCAGCUUCUUGGUCUUAGAGUUGGUAAAUGAUAAACUUCAAAAUACAACUUUGUUUCCUUCAAAUUUUCAGCCCAAAAAUUGCACUUCACCAGACUUAUUUCAUUCUGGUUACUGUACAGUGACAAAGUGUACAUUAAAAUACAUGAUCUUUGGUCAUUAUGUGAUGUUAUAAAACUGUCUUUCUUUAUAUUGCUAUAAUAAUUAUGACUUCACAAGCAUGAUUUUAUUUUCUUUACUGAACAGUGUGUGUAUUUAUCUGCCAUUUAGUGUCGUCAAAGUUGUUAAAAAAUGAGGUUAAACUCACCCAGUUAUUAAUCUUAUAAUUUGACUCUCAUUAACUACAACUGUAAUAACCUGACUCUAGGAAUCCUGGAAUAUUUCAUACUCUUUGAUACACUAUAUUGUGCCUACAGUGUCUUGUACUACAGAUAUAAUGUGUCACUACUCGAAGGUGAUCUUAAUUUGUUUAUUCACAUUUAAUUUUAAUAUAUGGACUAUAGUGUACGUAGAUCAUGUAUUACAGUGUAAACACUCCAUCAAGAAACUAAGUCUUGAUAUAAACUUUCCUUCAAGUGGACCACCUGGUUGGCCUAAGGUCUGCACCAAACACAGUAUGAAGAUAUUAAGCAGAAGAUAUUGUCUUUACUGAUCAUUUGUUUAACUCUUGAUUGUUGCAUAUUGAAUGACCAUUUUCACCCUUUUUUAUAUAGUAUCUAAAGCUGAAUAUAUAAUUAAAAUGCAGUACAUCCACUGUACUCAUCAAGUGUUCACAACUUACAAAGGUGUCUUUUGUUAUAAAGCAGUUUGUCACAACCUUCAAAAGCCACACCAUAUGUUUGUUAGUGUUUCUCGUCGAACACCGUUAGUUGAAAAUCAUGUCUAAAGGUCCUUUUGUUACUGAUUUGAAUAAAUUAUAAAAGAACUUAAUUAAAUUUAAAGAAAAACUAUAUCGGAAGUACAGUACAAUGGGCAGUUGACCAGCCGGGUGAGACAGACAUACACUCAUGAUCAUUCUUCUUGUUUUAACAAUUACACUACAAUAUUGAUAUUUAUUUUUGUGAUAUAUAAUUAAGUAUAUUUUACAAAAAGCACAAACAUGAUAAGUAGAGGUAGAGUAGAACAAUAUCCAUAUGCAACUAUUCCACAGAUUCAUUCCUACGAGAAGGACGUUGUGCAGUUUGAUUUUGUUAUAUAAACAUUCUUGUAUGGUUAUAAAUACUGUAUAAACUGAGAGUAAUUACCUAAGGUUCUCAAAAGACUUAGUCGAUGUAGUCUUCAUGGUCGGUUUUGUCUGGGGACUGUACUCCGGUAUCCUAUGAAAAACAAACGCCUCCCAUUAAAGCCGUUAUUUAAUAGUGAAUCAGCCAAAUUACAAGCAAAAUAAUGGAUAGGUAAGAGCAUAAGAAGUGAUUUGCUUCAUCUUCUUCCAUUUAGACUGUAAAUUGUAGCUUCUUAUCAUUUGUACUAAUGAGCAUUGGUGACUGAACAUCUACAGAGGACUACAAUGUUACUCGCCUCAAAACAAUUAUUAGAGACUCACCAGUAAUGUUCCAGAAGUGUGGAUGUCUGUUAAUAUGACAUAGAAGACUGUAGACGUUACUAAUAUCACGCAUAGAAACUCUCACUUGGUAAUGGAGAAAAAUCAUUAAAUAAAUAAAUUAAAAAUCAAAACAUAAUGACGAUAAAUUUUGUUCUUCAUUUGAUCUUUAUCUUCACUAUAUAUUUUAAAAUGUUCAUCGAUAUUAUUAGGUUGCCUUUUUGUUACGUUGUUUUGAACUUUUUUGUCCAGUGUUAGUACAGGAGGAAACAGUAUAGUACCUGCCAUGUUUGGUAGGGUCUAACAUCUCUGAUACACUGGGGAUGGAACCCAAUGGUGAGAGCUACUGUUCAUACGUUACCACUGGUCAACCAAGUGAGAAAUUUCUUGAUUAAAACUUAUUUCAAUGCUACGCGAUACUAGAAAUUUUACUUGUGAGAAUUAUUUGAAGUUAUUGUUUUUUUAAGAAUAUGUAGUCACAGAUUUAAGAGAUAACAUUUUACAAUAUAGUAUUUGAAAAACAGCUAUACUACAGUUGCUUGUACUGUACAGGUUACAAGGUUUGCAUUCCCCAUAUUUAUUUCAUAUUAAGAUUAACCUAACUCUCUAAGUAGUAACGGGUGGUUAAUCAUCAGAUGAAAACUGGAAAGGACCUAAUCUUCAGGUGAUUCUCUUGUCAUUUCUUAAGUAUAGUUUUAGUACACAAACAUAUCUCAAGACCAUAUCAAAAAUCUUACUUUCAUUAGUUUACAAAUACGGGAAUAGUUGUGGAAUUUAUUUUUAUUAUGAGAGAAAUAUAUAAAACGGUACAGUACUCACUAUAAAACGGUACAGUACUCACCAUAAAACGUACAGUACUCACCAUAAAACGUACAGUACUCACUAUAAAAUAAACAGUAGUGCCAAUGUUUCUGUACAAAUAGAGUUAAUUGAUUCUUCCAGUACAGCCAUCCUAACAAUAACCUAACCUACCCCUCUCAAGUAGCAUUGUACAGUAAAGUAUUGUACAGUAAAGUAUUGUACAGCACAGUAUAGUACAGUACAGUACAGCACAGUACAGUGCAGUACAACACGAUUCAGUACAGUACAGCACAGUUCAGCGCAGUACAGUUCAGUACAGUACAGUACAGUAGUAUGAUGACCACUCUUUAUUUCUUCAGGGAAUUCACAUUUAUAUUUGGUUAUAGAGGAAGUAAAGCCAUCAACCUUUACCUGCAUCUACACACAUAGAUAAGAAGGUUGGAACUGUACUGUACAAGGCAGAGUGAGGAAUGGGGACAACUGCAGAAAUAUUAACAUAAAUUAAACUAUAAUGGAUAGAGACCUAGAGUAAUGGUCUGUUUAUGGUAGACCACCAAGAGGUACUGUAGAGUAUGGUAGACCACCAAGAGGUACUGUAGAGUAUGGUAGACCACCAAGAGGUACUGUAGAGUAUGGUAGACCACCAAGAGGUACUGUAGAGUAUGGUAGACCACCAAGAGGUACUGUAGAGUAUGGUAGACCACCAAGAGGUACUGUAGAGUAUGGUAGACCACCAAGAGGUACUGUAGAGUAUGGUAGACCACCAAGAGGUACUGUAGAGUAUGGUAGACCACCAAGAGGUACUGUAGAGUAUGGUAGACCACCAAGAGGUACUGUAGAGUAUGGUAGACCACCAAGAGGUAAGGCAGAAGGGAAGACGUCUACAAUAGUGUUUCCAUGACUCAUUAAUGUCACUUUAACUAGCAUCUGAUUACCUUGAAUAAAUUACUUUUGAAAAAUUUUCCUACUCAAGAUGAAAUAAAUAUUAGGCCAUUCAUUAUCAGAGUGCAAUGCUGGUGUUAAAUAACCAGUUCAUAUUAACUGAAAAGAAUUUAAUUCUUUAUUGUAUAUUAGGAUAAGAAUUAAAUGGAUUAAUAAUAGAGCAUACGGUCAGGAUUAUAGAUGACUAAUGAUUAGGAUGAAUACUGAUAAAAGUUAAAUUGGUUGUAAGUUGUCAACAGGUUGCUCUUAUA